rnacentral:rRNA from 1 species
AUGGGCUUCCAGGACGCGCCCAGCGGGAGCGGCGGCGCCGGGAACCUGUCCCUCGCCAGCGUCGGCUUCGCCGGCGCCGGGGUCGGGGUGGGGGUCGGGGCCAAGGGGGCCGCCUCCAGCGGCGGCGGAUACAAGGAGCUCCUCGUCAUGGCGCUGCCCAAGGACGACGGCCUCGACGCCGCCAAGGUCAUCGGCGCCGGGCUGCCGGACGUCGGGGAGGCCUUCAGGACAUUUUUUAGAAGUAGAGAGAUUAGAGAAUUUGCCAGUGGGGCGUUAGCUGGUGCUAUGUCCAAAGCUGUUCUUGCUCCCCUUGAGACUAUCAGGACAAGAAUGGUUGUAGGCGUAGGAUCCAGACAUAUCGCUGGCAGUUUUGUGGAGAUCAUGGAACAUAAUGGGUGGAGAGGGCUUUGGGUGGGCAAUACAAUCAACAUGAUCCGCAUUAUUCCCACUCAAGCAAUUGAGCUUGGAACAUUUGAGUAUGUCAAAAGGGGCAUGAAGUCAGCACAAGAGAAAUGGAAAGAGGAUGGAUGCCCAAAGAUACAGCUUGGUAAUAUGAAAAUCGAUAUUCCACUCCACUUGUUAUCUCCAGUUGCUAUUGCUGGUGCGGCUGCUGGAAUUGCUGGUACAUUGAUGUGCCAUCCUCUUGAAGUAAUUAAGGAUCGCCUGACAGUGGAUCGAGUGACUUAUCCUAGCAUUAGCAUUGCCUUCAGCAAGAUAUAUCGAACUGAAGGUAUCAGAGGUCUCUAUUCUGGCCUCUGCCCGACACUAAUUGGCAUGCUUCCUUACAGCACAUGCUACUACUUUAUGUACGACACAAUCAAGACCUCAUACUGCCGCCUACAUAAGAAGAAAUCCUUGAGCCGUCCUGAGCUACUAAUUAUCGGAGCUCUGACAGGUCUGACGGCGAGCACGAUCAGCUUCCCCCUGGAGGUGGCGAGGAAGCGGCUCAUGGUAGGCGCCCUGCAGGGGAAGUGCCCGCCCAACAUGGUGGCGGCCCUGUCAGAAGUGAUCCGGGAGGAGGGCCUCCUGGGGAUCUACCGCGGGUGGGGGGCGAGCUGCCUCAAGGUGAUGCCGAAUUCGGGCAUCACCUGGAUGUUCUACGAGGCGUGGAAGGACAUCCUCCUGGGCGAGAAGGACAAGCACCUCGACUAG